rnacentral:misc_RNA from 1 species
GGUACCUCAACCAGAUGAGGCUUAGUAUCUGUAGAGGGAAACUAUAAAUCCUGAUGUGUGUCAAGUCCAAGAUUUUCAGUAAUUUGAAAUGAAUAAGCUCUGAUUGGAGAACAAAAGUUGAAAAAAAGCCACCCAAUGAGAAAAUAGAGCAAGUUCGUUUCAAAAGAUUGUUGUCAUCAUCAUCUCUCCACUCAUGAUGUCCAGGGGUAAGAAGGGCCCUAUAUAGACCAUACGGAGA